GGUUUCACCUCGACCCUUCCUCCCUUCAAUUUUCAAACGUUACGAUCAAAGCUCACAUUACCAGCACCAUACGUUACAAAAAAGGAUCCCAUUAACAACUCCAUUAAGUCUGUUAAUCAAUCCCUGAAGAUGUUCAAAAGAUUUUGGUUGGUCGAGGACAUAUUGAGAAAUGAACCGACAUCCAUCUCAGGUUUAUGCUGGACUUACAAAGUGAGUUUGACAUAGUUAUGUAAAGGCUGAUCUGAGUAUAGUGAUACUGCACCGUAAGCCUGAAUUUAUGGCGCUCUUGAAGAAAUUAGAUCAUCUAAAAUGUGUCGUACGAGGAAGUAAGUUCACCAAAUGGCAAGAUCUUUGGGAGGCUCAUCAGUAGCCAUUGCACAAGUGGCCAAUAUGACAAACCUAUCUUUUGAGUGGGGUUGCACAAGAAGGCAACUCAGUUAUGCACUUUGAGUAGGAUUUGAACCUAGCAGUACCUCGACAAACAUAUCAUAUCAGUUUGAGGGAGAUGUUUGAGAUAUUGAAAUUGUUAUACACUUUGUAAAUCUUUUGCCUGUGUAUGUCUAAUCUUCAUUAGUCUUCUUAUUUUGUUGCCAAAACCACCAUUAGUGCGCAGUUAAGGAUUGAA